GUGGAAGUAGCUUAAUUGGCAGAGCGCCUGUUUGUGGUACAGGUUGUUGUGGGUUCAACUCCCACCUUCCACCCCA
rnacentral:tRNA from 1 species